UUAGACUAGGUUAGAAUUCUGGAUCUGCCACUUCCUAGCUGUACAGAUCUUGGGCAAGUAACGGCCUCCUGGGGCUUCAAUUUCUGAAACUGUAAAAUGAGCUAGUUAGAUUAGAUGAUCUCUGAGGUUCUUCACAACUACAAAUCGCUGCCCUUCUUAUCUAACACUCCAUUCACCCUUACCAGACUGUCAGCUCCCUGAAGGCAGAGAUUCUAGCCCCAGUACCAGGCCUUGUAUAUAAGAGGAACUCAAUACAUUCUUGUUGAAUGAAUAACUGAAUCUGGCUCUGAACAAGGAGUGGAUAAACCAUGACAUUCAUCAUAAUGCCUGGUGAAGACUGCAUUGGGGACAUCACCUUGAUGGAGGAAUGGCCAUACUCAAUGAAGGGUCCAAACAAAAUGCUACCCUUCUGGCAGAGUUGGAAACUGAAACAGAUUGGCCUCUUGUCUGUGCUACAAUCCCUGGUUAGCAUGAAACAUAAUCCUUACUCAUAAACCCAGAGUGAUUCAUGUUGGAAGAGUUCAAUUUCGCCUGAGUCAGGUCUCAGCUCCUCCACGAAAUGUUUCCCAAGUACUCUCCAACUGGCACACCUGUACCUUAUUUGGAUUCCUACUACAUUUUCCACCACACCAUUCACCACUAAAAA